CCUACGGGAGGCAGCAGUGAGGAAUAUUGGUCAAUGGGCGCGAGCCUGAACCAGCCAAGUCGCGUGAGGGAGGACGGCCCUACGGGUUGUAAACCUCUUUUGCCGGGGAGCAACGGGCGUCACGUGUGGCGCCACUGAGAGUACCCGGAGAAAAAGCAUCGGCUAACCCCUUGCCAGCGGCCGCGGUAAUACGGGGGAUGCGAGGGUUAUCCGGAUUUAUUGGGUUUAAAGGGUGCGUGGGCGGAGCGUUAAGUCAGUGGUAAAAUUGAGGGGCUCAACCCCUUCCCGCCAUUGAAACUGGCUCGCUUGAGUGGAAGAGAAGUAUGCGGAAUGCGUGGUGUAGCGGUGAAAUGCAUAGAUAUCACGCAGAACCCCGAUUGCGAAGGCAGCAUGCCGGCUUCCGACUGACGCUGAAGCACGAAAGCGUGGGGAUCGAACAGGAUUAGAUACCCCUGUAGUC
rnacentral:rRNA from 1 species